AUGCGAUAAGUAAUGUGAAUUGCAGAAUUCAGUGAAUCAUCGAGUCUUUGAACGCACAUUGCGCCCCCUGGUAUUCCGGGGGGCAUGCCUGUCCGAGCGUCAUUGCUGCCCUCAAGCACGGCUUGUGUGUUGGGCCCUCGUCCCCCGGGACGGGCCCGAAAGGCAGCGGCGGCACCGCGUCCGGUCCUCGAGCGUAUGGGGCUUCGUCACCCGCUCUGUAGGCCCGGCCGGCGCCUGCCGACACCAUCAAUCUUUUUUCCAGGUUGACCUCGGAUCAGGUAGGGAUACCCGCUGAACUUAA
rnacentral:misc_RNA from 1 species